UAGGGAAUAUUAGAAAUGGACGAAAGUCUGAUCUAGCAACACCGCGUGUGCGAAGAAGGCCUUCGGGUUGUAAAGCACUUUUUGGAAGGAUUAGGAAGGAAUGUACUUCCAGAAUAAGUCUCGGCUAACUACGUGCCAGCAGCCGCGGUAACACGUAGGAGGCAAACGUUAUCCGGAUUUACUGGGCGUAAAGCGCGUGUAGGUGGUUCUGUAAGUAGGGCGUGAAAGCUCCUGGCUCAACUGGGAGAGGCCGUUCUAAACUGCAGAGCUAGAGGAUGGUAGAGGGAGGUGGAAUUCCGGGUGUAGCGGUGGAAUGCGCAGAUAUCCGGAGGAACACCAGUGGCGAAAGCGGCCUCCUGGCUCAUAACUGACGCUCAGACGCGAAAGCUAGGGUAGCAAACG
rnacentral:rRNA from 1 species